rnacentral:rRNA from 1 species
ACGUAGGGGGCGAGCGUUAUUCGGAAUUACUGGGCGUAAAGGGUAUGUAGGCGGCCCUUCAAGUCGCGUGUCAAAGUCCAGUGCUCAACGCUGGGUGUGCGCUCGAUACUGACGGGCUUGAGGGCUGGAGAGGUGAGUGGAAUUCCCGGUGUAGAGGUGAAAUUCGUAGAUAUCGGGAGGAACACCAGCGGCGAAGGCGGCUCACUGGACAUUUACUGACGCUAAGAUGCGAAAGCGUGGGGAGCAAACAG